rnacentral:rRNA from 1 species
CCAAUAGCGUAUAUUAAAGUUGUUGCAGUUAAAAAGCUCGUAGUUGAAUUUCGGGAUCAGUUGGUCGGUCGUGCCUCGGUACGUACUGGUCAAAUUGAUUCCUACCUUCUGACGAACCACGAUGUCAUUAAUUUGGUGUCGUGGGGAAUUAGGACUGUUACUUUGAAAAAAUUAGAGUGUUUAAAGCAGGCUCGCGCUUGAAUACGUUAGCAUGGAAUAA